rnacentral:rRNA from 1 species
AGAGUUUGAUCCUGGCUCAGAUUGAACGCUGGCGGCAUGCCUUACACAUGCAAGUCGAACGGCAGCACGGGGGCAACCCUGGUGGCGAGUGGCGAACGGGUGAGUAAUACAUCGGAACGUGUCCUGUAGUGGGGGAUAGCCCGGCGAAAGCCGGAUUAAUACCGCAUACGAUCUACGGAAGAAAGCGGGGGAUCGCAAGACCUCGCGCUAUAGGGGCGGCCGAUGGCAGAUUAGCUAGUUGGUGGGGUAAAGGCCUACCAAGGCGACGAUCUGUAGCUGGUCUGAGAGGACGACCAGCCACACUGGGACUGAGACACGGCCCAGACUCCUACGGGAGGCAGCAGUGGGGAAUUUUGGACAAUGGGGGAAACCCUGAUCCAGCAAUGCCGCGUGUGUGAAGAAGGCCUUCGGGUUGUAAAGCACUUUCGUCCGGAAAGA